rnacentral:rRNA from 1 species
GGCCGUAUUUGAAACUGAUAAACUAGAGUCUUUCAGAGGUGCGUGGAAUUCUGUGUGUAGGGGUAAAAUCCGUAGAUACACAGAGGAACACCAAAAGCGAAGGCAGCGCACUGGGAAAGUACUGACGCUCAUGGACGAAAGCGUAGGUAGCGAACGGGAUUAGAUACCCCGGUAGUCUACGCCGUAAACGAUGGAUACUAGGUGUUGGAGGAUUCGACCCCUUCAGUGCCGAAGCUAACGCAUUAAGUAUCCCGCCUGGGGAGUACGGUCGCAAGAUUAAAACUCAAAGGAAUAGACGGGGACCCACACAAGCGGUGGAGCAUCUGGCUUAAUUCGAUAUUGAGCGAGGAACCUUACCUGGACUUGACAUCUUGGGGAUUCUCUAGAAAUAGAGAAGUGCCUUUUAGGAACCCAAUGACAGGUGUUGCAUGGUUGUCGUCAGCUCGUGCCUUGAGGUGUUCGGUUAAGUCCGUGAACGAGCGCAACCCAUGUCCUGUGUUGUAUUUUUCACAGGAGACUGCCGGUUCAAAACCGGAGGAAGGUAUGGAUGACGUCAAAUCAGCAUGACCCUUAUGUCCAGGGCUGCACAGGUGCUACAAUGGCUGGUACAAUUGGUAGCAAUGUCGUAAGGCGGAGCCGAUCCUAAAAACCAGUCUAAGUUCGAAUUGAGGGCUGCAACUCGCCCUCAUG